rnacentral:rRNA from 1 species
UCGAGGGGCAGCGGUGGUGAAGGCUUGCCUUUACCAGCCGGCGACCGGCGCACGGGUGAGUAACACGUAUGCAACCUGCCUGCCACAGCCGGAUAAUCGGGAGAAAUUCCGUCUAAUACGGCAUAAUGCAUCGACGGGACAUCCUGUUGGUGCCAAAGGUUAAUUCCGGUGGCGGAUGGGCAUGCGUCGCAUUAGUUAGUUGGCGGUGUAACGGACCACCAAGACGACGAUGCGUAGGGGUUCUGAGAGGAAGGUCCCCCACACUGGUACUGAGACACGGACCACACUCAUACGGGAGGCAGCAGUGAGGAAUAUUGGUCAAUGGGCGGGAGCCUGAACCAGCCAAGUCGCGUGAGGGAUGACGGCCCUAUGGGUUGUAAACCUCUUUUGCCGGGGAGCAAAGUGCCGCACGUGUGCGGUUUGGAGAGUACCCGGAGAAAAAGCAUCGGCUAACUACGUGCCAGCAGCCGCGGUAAUACGUAGGGGGCAAGCGUUAUCCGGAUUUACUGGGUGUAAAGGG